GUCUGGAUUGCCCGGUUGGCUUGAUCCUGGUAAAAGUACUCCACCUCCUCGUUGAGGUGUGUGUCGACGAGCUCCAGUCCCCGUCCCUCGGCUACAAGUUUGCUCGCCCAUGGCGAUUAGCUCCAGGAGAACGAUGCCAAAGCUGUAUACAUCGACUUUGGUGGAGACUGGAGCGUUGGAGUUAAGCCAUUCGGGAGCGAGGUAGCCCGGAGUUCCACGCAUGUUGGUCACGACCCUGGCCUUGUCUCGAUCCACCAGCUUUGACAGUCCGAAAUCGGUGACCUGUCUUUGCUGUUCCAGGGAGAUGGAGAGCAAGCGACGUUACCUUUGGAGAAAAGUUCUCGUCUAAAAAUAAGUUAAGCCUCGGGCCAUUCCCACCGCAAUCUCGUACCGCUUUGGCCAGUCCAGCAGUCGCUCCUUUCCUGGAGUUUCACAGGACAGAGGAGAACUUCUUCGGGAGGAGCUGUGGGAGAAAAUCGGACUUGCUCUUCCUAGUGAACCACAUCGUUGAGAGGGAGGCAAAGCCGAAGAGGAGGAUGAGGAGGAUGAGGAGUGGAAAGGACGCUGUUGCAUCAAAGAAGCACAACGCACUUUUGUCUCCACUAUAGAGCGAGGCACCCCUUCCAGAGAAUCAUUGUGUUCCUUUCGUUGCAGCAACCGAAUCGCUUGCGCAGAUAAAAUCUCAGCGAGCGAAGCCAGAUAAAACGAAGAAAAAAUCCCAGAGUCCUGCGCGAGCAAGCAACGCGAGAGCUUGUAUUUUGGCUUUAAAUCCGCCAGACCAAUGCCAGCAACUUAAAAACAUAGAUUUGUCACUUUGCCUUAUUCUU